rnacentral:tRNA from 1 species
CAUUAGAUGGCUGAAUUGUAAGCAAUGGAAUUUUAAACCAUCCUAUGGUAAUUUAACAUCUACUUCUAAUG